AUAAAACCACAAGAGCAAGGUGCAGUGAGAGGUGCCAGCGGCUCAGUUUUCUUUGUGAGGAUAUAUUUGAACUCCCAGUCAUAUGCACAGCUAAGCAGAGCCUAACCCUCCUCUGCCACAGGAUGGAGGAAUAGCGGACUGCACAGCAGCACUCUCAGUAACAAAGGAUCGGGGCUCCCUCCCUAUCCAGCUAAUCACCUCUUAUGGUGCAUUUCUAUAUGCAACCAGCACCGCCCCCCCUGCACCUGCACUGUGCAGUUGAUUACAUCUGGGGAAAAGAAGACUGAAAAGAAACAUAAUUGUCUACAAACACGUAAAAGGGAUGUUUAUAAAAGAGCUCGAGAUCAGUUUUGAUUCGUCAAAGAGACCAAGUAGCAGUGGAGCCAGAUCCUGAGCUGCAGCUGAUGAGCACUCGGGCAUGGUUCACAA